UGCCAGCCGCCGCGGUAAUACGGAGGGGGCUAGCGUUGUUCGGAAUUAUUGGGCGUAAAGGGCGCGUAGGCGGCUUGGUAAGUUGGUUGUGAAAUCCCUCGGCUUAACCGAGGAACUGCGACCAAAACUGCCGGGCUUGAGUUCCGGAGAGGGUAGCGGAAUUCCCAGUGUAGCGGUGAAAUGCGUAGAUACUGGGAGGAACACCAGUGGCGAAGGCGGCUACCUGGACGGAUACUGACGCUGAGGCGCGAAAGCGUGGGGAGCAAACAGGAUUAGAUA
rnacentral:rRNA from 1 species